rnacentral:misc_RNA from 1 species
GAUGAAGAACGUAGCGAAAUGCGAUAAGUAAUGUGAAUUGCAGAAUUCAGUGAAUCAUCGAAUCUUUGAACGCACAUUGCGCCCGUCAGUAUUCUGGCGGGCAUGCCUGGUCGAGCGUCAUUACGCCCCUCAAGUCCCCUGUGGACUUGGUGUUGGGGAUCGGCGAGGCUGGUUUUCCAGCACAGCCGUCCCUUAAAUUAAUUGGCGGUCUCGCCGUGGCCCUCCUCUGCGCAGUAGUAAAACACUCGCAACAGGAGCCCGGCGCGGUCCACUGCCGUAAAACCCCCCAACUUUUUAUAGUUGACCUCGAAUCAGGUAGGACUACCCGCUGAACUUAAGCAUAUCAAUAAGCGGAGGA